GAUGAACGCUGGCGGCGUGCCUAAUACAUGCAAGUCGAGCGAACAGACGAGGAGCUUGCUCCUUCGACGUUAGCGGCGGACGGGUGAGUAACACGUAGGUAACCUACCUAUAAGACUGGGAUAACUUCGGGAAACCGGCGCUAAUACCGGAUAAUAUUUCGAACCGCAUGGUUCGAUAGUGAAAGAUGGCUUUGCUAUCACUUAUAGAUGGACCUGCGCCGUAUUAGCUAGUUGGUAAGGUAACGGCCUACCAAGGCAACGAUACGUAGCCGACCUGAGAGGGUGAUCGGCCACACUGGAACUGAGACACGGUCCAGACACCUACGGGAGGCAGCAGUAGGGAAUCUUCCGCAAUGGGCGAAAGCCUGACGGAGCAACGCCGCGUGAGUGAUGAAGGUCUUCGGAUCGUAAAACUCUGUUAUUAGGGAAGAACAAACGUGUAAGUAACUGUGCACGUCUUGACGGUACCUAAUCAGAAAGCCACGGCUAACUACGUG
rnacentral:rRNA from 1 species